rnacentral:rRNA from 1 species
GUCUAGAGGCUUCGGCAAUGGGGGCAACCCUGACCGAGCGACGCCGCGUGCGGGAUUGAAGGCCGUGAGGUCGUAAACCGCUGUCAGCAGGGAAGAAUGCUCGAAUGGUGAAUUCGGGAGCGACGGUACCUGCAGAGGAAGCCCCGGCUAACUCCGUGCCAGCAGCCGCGGUAAUACGGGGGGGGCUAACGUUGUUCGGAAUUACUGGGCGUAAAGGGUGCGUAGGCGGUUCGGCAAGUCUAGCGUGAAAUCUCACCGCUCACCGGUGAAACGGCGCUGGAAACUGCCGAGCUCGAGGAUGGAAGAGGCAGGUGGAAUUCCUGGUGUAGCGGUGGAAUGCGUAGAUAUCAGGAAGAACACUCGUGGCGAAGGCGGCCUGCUGGUCCAUUUCUGACGCUGAUGCACGAAAGCCAGGGGAGCGAACGGGAUUAGAUACCCUGGUAGUCC